CGAGGAAGGGAUUUUCUUAGCUGAUAUUUGCUUCAUUUUCAGCGUUUCUCCAUCUGUUUUAAUUUCAGGCUGUUGGACAUCAUGCUCCAAGGCAGAGUUGAAGAAGCAACACCAAGCAGUGAUGCAGUUGUCACAGUGGAAGGAAAGAGCCUAAAACAAGUUCUCAUCCUACAGUUAUUCCUCCUGCUGUCAAACUGGUUUACUCUACAAUGACUCUUGAGGUUACUUUUCAUACAAGGAAAAAAACCCUAAGAUCUGUUUCCUAGCUUUCAUCCUUCAGAAACUGGUCACUACAAGCU
rnacentral:lncRNA from 1 species